GAUGAACGCUAGCGGCAGGCCUAGCACAUGCAAGUCGAGGGGUAGAGGAAGCUUGCUUCCUUGAGACCGGCGCACGGGUGCGUAACGCGUAUGCAAUCUACCUUUUACAGAGGGAUAGCCCAGAGAAAUUUGGAUUAAUACCUCAUAGUAUCUUUGCCUGGCAUCGGGUGAUUAUUAAAGUUCCAACGGUAAAAGAUGAGCAUGCGUCCUAUUAGCUAGAUGGUAAGGUAACGGCUUACCAUGGCAACGAUAGGUAGGGGUCCUGAGAGGGAGAUCCCCCACACUGGUACUGAGACACGGACCAGACUCCGACGGGAGGCAGCAGUGAGGAAUAUUGGACGAUGGGCGCAAGCCUGAUCCAGCCAUGCCGCGUGCAGGAAGACGGUCCUAUGGAUUGUAAACUGCUUUUGUACGGGAAGAAGCACUCCUACGUGUAGGAGCUUGACGGUACCGUAAGAAUAAGGAUCGGCUAACUCCGUGCCAGCAGCCGCGGUAACAC
rnacentral:rRNA from 1 species